UUUUUAAACCUCCUCCCUCCCCCCCACCCCACUCCCCCCCCACUCCCCAUGAACUGCCUUUCUAGCAUGAUGCCCUUUUUCCAUCCACAUUUGUGUUUCAGGUGUAGAGAGGACAGAAAGUGAACAGGGAGCAAGGGGCUUUUGUCUGCUGUCCUUCCAGGACUGCUGGAGAGAGGGGAGAAGAGGUGCGUGCAGUCCCAAGACUGCUAGAGACUCAAAAUGGUUUAUCAACCAAAGCUAACCGCCUGGGCCAUUCAGGGGGCAUUUCCUGCAGGCCAAGGGGAUGGAAGAUUUCCCAAGGGAAAUCGUCCUAUCCCAAAGGAAGUUAAUCGCAAGAAGAACAAGGCGGAGACCAUGGCUGCAUUCCUGAGUCCAGCUCGUGGCUAUGGACAGGGUUCCAAGAGAACCAAUUACCUCUGCUAUUUUUAAUCAUUACUCCUCCAUUUGUAUUACACAUGGUGUAUGGGUAUUGAUGAGGUCAUGGUGUCAUAUAUUGGGAAUUGUUUCUGUGUAAAUCAUCAAGUAUAAGAAGAAACUAUGGGGGACUCUGAGCCUUGCUUUAGAGAAUGACAGUGGACAAAUAUGUAUCAUAAACCAGUUUUUAAUCAUUCUGACGUAUGUGAAAGCUCUCAGAAUUUCACACUGUGAAUCCACGUUUACAAAUACAACAGGUGGGCCUUCAGGCCUGGUUCUCCUACAACAAUGUCUUCCACUACUCAAACCCUACUGCCCAGAUGCAACUGGUAAAUUUCCGUGUCUCCACAUCCACAGCUCCUGACUGCUUCUUGCAGAGGCUGAGAGUCCCCAUUUUUUCAUUUAGAUGUAACACACCUAGUGGUUAUUUUCAUCCAUUGUCUGUAUAUCUCUAUAUUUUAUCCAUGUACUCUUUGAUGUGUAGAAGUAGUUUGAAACUCAUUGUUUCCUUGUGGUAAGUGACGGAGAUGCUGCCACGGGAUUUGAGACACUGAUGAAUGGUGCUAUUUUGGACUUUAAAUGCUCCUUGGCAAGGUAGCUCUGAUGGAGUUAUUUUUUAUUUUCGUGUUCUAAGAGGGUGUUGGGACUUUGUUUUCCGAAUGUUGUUCUUUAGACUGGACUGACUUGGUUCCUUGUGUCUUCAGUGUGGCUUUCCUAUUCAGUGUUGUUGGGUGAGUAAAUGCUAAUAGCGCAAGUGAGGAGCUGAUUUUCUGUCAGCCGUGUGCACGCUCACAAACAUGCACCUGUUGGAGCGGGAGCAAUCACAAAACUGUAAUUGACAAACAAAUCUCCUUUCUAUCCCCUUGUCUGCCUAACUUAGAGAAAGAGAAGCAAUAAUUUUACAGUAAUCUUUAGAAGUCUUUUUUUUUCUUGGUUUUAGUUCAUACGUUUGGAAACCAGGGCAAGUUUUUGAAUGUCCUCUUUAAAACCCAUCCAACUGUGACCCACUAGGAAUCUGACAAUUGUUCCUUCCCAAAAAACUCAGAUGGAGAAACACUUCAAAAGGCAGAAUAUAGCUCUACAGCCUUGUCGAGCAAGUUGUGGAUUUUACAUUUUUGUUCUUGCUCCCAGUAAAACAAACUAAUAAACAAAACAGAACCAUCUACUCAUGGAGUGUUGUUGUGUUAGCCACAGUCUGAAAGCCCACCUUAAUUUUUUAUAUAACUCUGUCUUUUAGCUCUUCCUUUGACAGGGCAGGCUUUGUACUGAACUGUUUCUGCUUCUGACUGUUAAACCCCAAUGCAUGCACUGCACUUCUUAGUUCCCCUCUCUUUUACUGCCCCUGCCCUUCCCUCUCCCCACUCAAUUGUACCCCCUCUCUAGAGCAUCCCCCCCCCCCCCUUUUGUUAGAUUAGGUAUGUCAGUUGUGCUGUAUAUAGAGCAAGAAACAGUAUUCAGCAGUCGUGGCAUUUAUGUAUAGUGGCAGUAGUGUACUGCUGAAAAUGCAGGCUUUUGUAACCAUGUGAUCCUUAAUAAUGCACUACAAGUACCCAAUGUAUUUUAGCUCUUUUAGUAGGAUUUGUUCAAUAAAUAUGCAAGCUCUAAAGGUAA